rnacentral:rRNA from 1 species
GAUGAACGCUAGCGGCAGGCCUAACACAUGCAAGUCGAGGGAGGAGCUUUCGGGCUUCGACCGGCGUACGGGUGCGUAACGCGUAUACAAUCUGCCUUUCCCAUAGGGAUAGCCCGAUGAAAUUUGGAUUAAUACCUAAUGGUAUAUAGAGGUGGCAUCACCUUUAUAUUAAAGCUGAGGUGGUGAAAGAUGAGUAUGCGUUCUAUUAGCUAGUUGGAGAGGUAACGGCUCCCCAAGGCGACGAUAGAUAGGGGUUCUGAGAGGGAUAUCCCCCACACUGGUACUGAGAUACGGACCAGACUCCUACGGGAGGCAGCAGUGAGGAAUAUUGGACAAUGGUCGGAAGACUGAUCCAGCCAUGCCGCGUGCAGGAAGACGGCCGUAUGGGUUGUAAACUGCUUUUGAAGGGGAAGAAUAAGUACUACGCGUAGUUUGAUGACGGUACUCUGCGAAUAAGCAUCGGCUAACUCCGUG